rnacentral:rRNA from 1 species
AGAGUUUGAUCCUGGCUCAGAGCGAACGCUGGCGGCAGGCUUAACCCAUGCAAGUCGAGCGGGCGUAGCAAUACGUCAGCGGCAGACGGGUGAGUAACGCGUGGGAACGUACCUUUUGGUUCGGAACAACACAGGGAAACUUGUGCUAAUACCGGAUAAGCCCUUACGGGGAAAGAUUUAUCGCCGAAAGAUCGGCCCGCGUCCGAUUAGCUAGUUGGUAGGGUAAUGGCCUACCAAGGCGUCGAUCAGUAGCUGGUCUGAGAGGAUGAUCAGCCACAUUGGGACUGAGACACGGCCCAAACUCCUACAGGAGGCAGCAGUGGGGAAUAUUGGACAAUGGGCGCAAGCCUGAUCCAGCCAUGCCGCGUGAGUGAUGAAGGCCCUAGGGUUGUAAAGCUCUUUUGUGCGGGAAGAUAAUGACGGUACCGCAAGAAUAAGCCCCGGCUAACUUCGUGCCAGCAGCCGCGGUAAUACGAAGGGGGCUAGCGUUGCUCGGAAUCACUGGGCGUAAAGGGUGCGUAGGCGGGUCUUUAAGUCAGGGGUGAAAUCCUGGAGCUCAACUCCAGAACUGCCUUUGAUACUGAAGAUCUUGAGUUCGGGAGAGGUGAGUGGAACUGCGAGUGUAGAGGUGAAAUUCGUAGAUAAUCGCAAGAACACCAGUGGCGAAGGCGGCUCACUGGCCCGAUACUGACGCUGAGGCACGAAAGCGUGGGGAGCAAACAGGAUUAGAUACCCUGGUAGUCCACGCCGUAAACGAUGAAUGCCAGCCGUUAGUGGGUUUACUCACUAGUGGCGCAGCUAACGCUUUAAGCAUUCCGCCUGGGGAGUACGGUCGCAAGAUUAAAACUCAAAGGAAUUGACGGG